AAAGUAGUCUCCUCCGCAUUAAUGUUGGGGAAGAACCAAAUACGCUUUCCGAGAAGGACAUAGAGAACACCGAAAACAGCAGCUCGUAAUGAAAGCAAGGUUACUAUGAACAGUAGAGCUCCAGCACAUGAAUAGAGCACAACAAUCUUGCAUUGAUAUGGAUAAACAGGAAACAAGCAGAUUGCUAGAGCCACCAGAGGCCACAGAAAUGAAACAAUUGUUUGCCAUAAAGCCCGUCUUUUCAUAAAAGUCCAUGCAAAAAAAGAAUCAUACUCAGAGAAAACUUGCUCAGUGUGUAUCUCCAGAUGUGCAGGCCAUGAGGAUAACUUUUUCUUCCCAGGCCUAAGAAUUUUCAUCACACGGUCACAUCUUACUAAAAGAUUCUUCUCGAGAAGAGUAUUGACA
rnacentral:misc_RNA from 1 species